CGUGUCGUGAGAUGUUGGGUUAAGUCCCGCAACGAGCGGAACCCUUGAUCUUAGUUGCCAGCAUUCAGUUGGGCACUCUAAGGUGACUGCCGGUGACAAACCGGAGGAAGGUGGGGAUGACGUCAAAUCAUCAUGCCCCUUAUGACCUGGGCUACACACGUGCUACAAUGGACAGAACAAAGGGCAGCGAAACCGCGAGGUUAAGCCAAUCCCACAAAUCUGUUCUCAGUUCGGAUCGCAGUCUGCAACUCGACUGCGUGAAGCUGGAAUCGCUAGUAAUCGCGGAUCAGCAUGCCGCGGUGAAUACGUUCCCGGGCCUUGUACACACCGCCCGUCACACCACGAGAGUUUGUAACACCCGAAGUCGGUGAGGUAACCUUUUAGGAGCCAGCCGCCGAAGGUGGGACAGAUGAUUGGGGU
rnacentral:rRNA from 1 species